UCCACUACAUAAUCAUUCAUUAUCUUUAUAAUUAACCAUCUAAAGCUACCACAGUUCUUCAAUCAAAGUAUAUAUCUACAUAUAUAUAGAGAGUACACUUCAUAAUUUCGUCCCUUGUCUUCCAUAAACAUAGCACGAAAAUUUGAUACCCAGUAUUGUAAGGCAGGUCGUAAAAGCAGUCUUCCUACACAUAUUUAAAAAUAAUAGCUAGUCAAAAAAAUGAAACAAAUAAGUCACAAGAGGCACUUAGUGCCAAAAUCAAUACACAAAGACAAUAGAGUUGCUACGGGGUACUAAUGUACACCGUAUUGCUCAUAAACAGAAAAAGACAAAUAGACAAUCACAAUAUCAUUUGCUACAAAUCCAAAUAGAAAAAGAACCUUCAGUGCGAUUAUAUGAUUGCUUUGUUACAAGAUAAAAUUGGAAUCUUAAUCGGCCAUUUCAUGAAUUAAUUUCAGUAAGCAUAGUGAUAAACAUAUUUUCUGUUACAAGACUUGUAGAUUAUUAUUAUAUGUUGACUUCAAGUCAGAAUUCAGUCAUAUUCAACAGUCACAAGCAUCACACAAUCUUAAAUAACAAUGUUUAGAUUUCUAUAUAGAAAGGACAAUAAUUAUGGAAAAAUUGAGGCUAUUAGUCAAUAUGAAAAAACUUUUCUUGAGAUGACAAAUUUCCAUACAACAGUAUAUGCCCCAAAGAUGCUAGCUAUAAUCACAGACAUCAUAGAUUUAUUUACCAAGAAUUCAACAUGAUCAAGUUAUAAGAGACAGUUGUCCAAAAUUAUAUUGAAGCAUCAGUAGCAAAGCCAUCACAAAUAAAAAUGAACAAGCAUACCUACUCCACCACAAAAAAUAUAUCGAGCAUCUGUCUUCAUGACCAAUUUCUCUAACAAAUUCAGGUCACCAAAAAUAGCAUAACCAGAAGAUCCACAUGUAAAAUAGUCUACAAUGUCAAGGCUUGGCUCCUAUUUCAUAAUACUUUAGAAACAAGAGAAUAGUACAUGGAAAAAAAAUUGGUAGGUUGAAUUUGUUGCUUCCAACUACAAGAGAAAACAGAAUAUAAAUAUGACAAUAAAUUCAUUAUAGAUUUUAAAACUUCCAACCUUAUCAUCAGACUAAAUACAGGGUAGAUCCCUUUUACUGUCUUACAGAUUGAGACAAAUUUUCAUAUAUAACAGAUAACUCCAGCCUUUUAGCAUUGAUCUAUACAUUUCAAAAUAUAAAACUUUCUUAUGUGGCAAGCUUAUGUCAUUAUAAAUGUUAAAGGAAGAAGAGGGAUGGGUACCUUCACAUGGUUUAGUUCACCAAUAAUAACUCAACUGCUUGAGUACCUCAAAAGUUGGUAUAUAUUAAUCUAACUUGAGGGUCAACUCUGGCCAUAGUUACAACAGAGACAAUUAAUCAAUGAUUUGGCGAUUUAAGUGAAUAUGUUCCAAACUUGUGUAAACUUGAACAAACAAUAUGAAGUUCUUUUAUGCAUCGAUCAUGCUGAUUCUUUAUCCUUUCUAAUUUUUGCCUUUGUUUUGCCAACAUUUCCUCCAAUUCUUUUCUUUGAGAAAAAACAUUUUAACAUUAGCGAACAACACCAUCAAGUCAACAACCAAAUCCAUUUGUUACAAAUGGUGACAGAUAUUAGGAUCUCUAAUAUGCAAGACCUGGAGAGAAAAACAUACUAGUAAAGAGUUCCAACAAAAGUAUUUCUUGAACGUUGUCUAUCCCCAACAUCGAACAUGCUUGCGGAUACUCCAAAGUCGACUACCUUGACAACACCAUUAGAAUCAACUAAUAUGUUCCCAACCUGUAAAAAUUAUAAUUUGUUCCAAUUUCGUCUCCAUCAAAAUUAAUAUCAGAAUAGUGGAUAUUGUCAACUUAGUUCUCCUAAGUAUAGGCUAGUCAAUUAAAUCCCUUAGAACCUUCUGUUGUAGGUAUUCUUUUUUCCAAAAGUGAAUUAAGAUAGUCAUGGUAACCAUUCGAACCAUCAAAAUCAUUAAUAUUAUUAACGAAUGUAUCAAGCAAUAUAAUAGAGUAGUAAAGAUUGUAAAGACAGUACCGUAACUGUGAGUAGGUACAUUAACUUACUAAUAAAAUGCACCGUAAUCCCCUUUCACAUUUUCAUUCUUAGGUAAAUGAGGUUAAACUAUUUUCAAGAUGUAAAAAAUCAGUGAAAAAUGCUAGUAAUAAGUGGAUAUCCUACCUACUUGGUCGAACAUACUGAAAAAGUUGUGUUAACUAGUAGGUAUUUGAUUACUAAGCGUACAGACUUGCAGUUUCAAAUUUUCAUUCCAUUAAACAAAACAAUAGAGAAAGAAUGAAAUAGAUUUCCCUUAACCAGUCAUUAGAGCCCAGAAAAAAUAACAAUGUAUCACUAAUAAUAUCAGGAACCAGCUCAAGACACGACAAGUAAACAUAAAUGUGUAUCUCCGCAUGGAAGCAAAGCUACAUGCACAUUCAUAUUAUGUUUACAGCCAUUGAAACAUUUUUAUUCGCUCCUAAUUGUCAUUAGAAAAGAGAGGUAAUAAUUAUAAAUGGUGAAACAAUGUUUAUAAUAAUAAUUGCAUUAACUUCUUGCAAAAAAUGGGCACAAACACCCUUUUCACACUGACUUUCUUUUGGUAAAUGAAGUUGAACUUUCUGCAAGUGUUAAAAUAAGUGACAACUGAUGAAUAUCCUAUCUGCUUGGUCCAACAUACCCGUUAAACGCCAACAUAUUCAAGAGUAUUGAAAAACACGUAUGAUUUGUAAACUUUUACAACUUACUGAUUUCUUUGUAGCUUCCACAAGCAUAUUUGCAGCUCUUGCAGAAGGACUUGCCAACUUCAUGAUCCUGUUACACUGACUACUUUAAGGGAUGACUGCAGUGCCUGCAUGAUCAUUGGCACUCUGUUUAUUAAACACUAUAGGGCAUGGAGAAAAGUUAAUAUAAAAUAAGCAAAAGAAUACCUUCUUUCACAACACUAGGUAAAUUUUCUGCCAAAACAGAGCCACGAUUUUCCUCAUCUUUUUGCCACUGAGUUUUUCAGAGGGCAAUUUCUUUAUCACAAUAACUACGAUUGUCUAUAAUAUGCUGACCAUAGCUAUCCAGCACGUACUUCACUGGUGCUAAAGUUGAGUCUACAUCAGGAAUACCUUGCCUGCGAUCUGAAUUUAUCAGACAUGAAUGAGAUUCACUGAUUUUUAGGCGCUUUCUAUCUGGCUCUUUAAGUUCAAACUAUGAAAAAUCAGCAGGAGCUUCUCUAUAUAUGCUAGUUGCUUUAUUACUCAAAACUGUAGCACUAUCAUUCCUACAUUAACCUGAGGCCAAUUCCUACUAUCACAAUGGAACAAAAAUAACACAAUUACAAAACAAAAACCAAAAUACGUGUUCUUUUGCUUAAGAAUAAUUGUUUGCAGAAAUAAGCUAUAAUAAUACGUGUUCAACCUCCCUUUGAUAAUGAAUUCUUACAUUAUGUGUUCUAAACAAGUCCCAGGAAAUUAAGUAUCAAGUUUGACUACAAAUAAUAUUACAACAAAAUGUGUUUUAAGUCAACACCUUGAAGAAACCUUUAUUAAUAGGCAAAAAGAAUAUUAUAUUUUUAUGUCGUGCAACAUCAAGAGUUGAAAGAGUAUUAGGUGUUUACUCUGAAGUUACAAGGUGGGAUCUAUGAACGUUAAUUGGUAGUAUUAGUUUAUAAGCUAGUCUAGAAAAAUUUAACUGGUGAUAAAUGAUACUGAAGUAAGAGAAUAAUUAAGGUAACAUGAUAUAUAUGGGUAAUCAGUCAAUCUAAGAGAAAAUGUAAGAAAUUGAUAAUAAGUGAAACAAAAGGGAUAUAUAAAAAGGUAAAAUCAUGAAUCAGUUGGCAAAACUUUUGAUUCAAAUUUAGAAAGGGUAUAUCAAAUUAAUAUCAUUUUUUCCAAAUUAUUCUGUCAAACGAGGUAGAUUUGCGAGCGAGUGUUUUACCACCGCAAAGCUACAUCAAAUGUGAUUCCAUCUACUUUAUUCUUUCCUAAAACCUAAGAUGUCAUCCAGUGGAUUAUUCUGAAUUACAGAAAUGUCAAUCACUGUUAAGCAUUAAUCAAGUGGCAUGUACAAAGUAGUAGAGCAAUCAAAACAACAUAUAUAUAAAAGAUGGUAAAAAAAAUUUAACAAAGUUAUCAUGGUCAACUUUCAUAUCGCUUUUUAAAGUAAUAAGAAUUCAGGAUCACCCAUUUAAUGCAAAAGGUAAAUGAACAUGAUUCAGAAAUAGGAGAGCCUUUUUUUAAAUUUAUUAUUAGUAAUAAGAGACGAAGUUGAAUCAAAGGAAAAUUAAUUUGCUAACUGAUUCAGGAUUUUACCUUUAUGCAUAUACCUUAAUACCCAGGCAGUUCUAAAAUCCAAAAUCAACAUAUUCACAAAACAGAGAGGUGCCCACGGGUCAAAAUUAAAACAAACAUAACUAUAGAUUAAUCAAUUUACUGAAUGAGAUACUUAUAAAUGAAAAUAAAUUCACUAAAUUAAACCACCAACACCCAAUUACAAUGAAAGUAAGACAUGUAUUCGGUAUAUGCACAUAAAAAUUUUAAUAUAUAGAGAAAGUAGAAUACCUUAUAUACACCAACUGUUGGUUCUACAACGAUUUAACGAUUUAGGGGGGAUUUUUGCUACUGAUCGCUAUUUCUCGCUGUGCUUUGGUGUCUCCUUGCUUCUAGGUUUCCAUCAUUUUCUCAGUUUCUCCACUAUUCGAUUAGUUUCUCAGUUUCCUUUGCUACUAAUUUUCGGGGUUUAUCAGCUUUCUGAUAAAGUUCUGCUACUACUCGUUUCCACUUCAGAGAUCAAUUGAUUUGGGGGAGAUGUUUGGUUUACGGAUAUGGGGAGAGAAGAUUUUGGAAAUUUGGUAUAGGAAAAAAGAAUGUAUUUCCUCCUAUCUGCUUCCCGCUUGCCCUUGUUUUUAGAUAAACUAUUUUUCUACAUCCUCAAUUUUGCACAAUCUAAAAAUAAUUUGUGAAU
rnacentral:lncRNA from 1 species